UACGUAGGGUCCGAGCGUUGUCCGGAAUUACUGGGCGUAAAGAGCUCGUAGGUGGUUUGUCGCGUUUGUCCGUGAAAAACUCACAGCUCAACUGUGGGCGUGCGGGCGAUACGGGCAGACUGGAGUACUGCAGGGGAGACUGGAAGUUCCUGGUGUAGCGGUGGAAUGCGCAGAUAUCAGGAGGAACACCGGUGGCGAAGGCGGGUCUCUGGGCAGUAACUGACGGCUGGAGGAGCGAAAGCGUGGGGAGCGAACAGG
rnacentral:rRNA from 1 species